UCAAUUUUAGUUUUGAGAUAAAGGACUACUUCAGCACUUUCAAUUCCCUUUUCACCUCUCCAUGACUUGGGUAUCAUUGAAAUCCGUUCUACUACACGAACUUCUUUAUUUGGGCCUUCAAUGCUAUUAACCUUUUCAGGAUUAUUCGUCAAAAGUCUGAUAUCACGCUGACCAAGAUCCAUCAACAUAGCAGUAGCAACUGCAUACGAUCUUCCAUCUGCUGGAUGUUGAAGCAGUAAAUUGGCUUGGACGGUGUCGUUUCCUAAAUCCUGAAGAUUAUAAGCCUUGAGUUUCUCGGACAAACCAAUUCCGCGACCUUCUUGACGAAGAUAUAUUAUGACACCAUUCCCUUCUUCACUAAUUAAACGGGCUGCUUCAUCAAGUUGUUCACCACAAUCACAACGAGCCGACCAAGCAGUUUCACCGGUAUAGCACUCGGAAUGAAUUCGAACCAGCGGUACAAAAUUAGUCUUCCGUGCUUCUUCUUUCUGCUCUUCGGUAGUUUUUGAAGAGUUAACAUCAAUAUAAGAGCUUUUACGGCCAGGAUAAAGUGUCCCCACGUAUGCGCCUCGUACCAUACGGUCCAUUUCUGUUUCGCCUUCUUGCACAGCAUCAAGACUAUCUGAGCGAAUUUGUUGACCAAAAACAAUUGCUAAAUGCUCUUUAUUAUCAAAAUCGUUUUUGUAUAAAUGGAGGAAAAUCUCCGUCCCCUUAACUGUAGGAAUUCUUGCUCUAACAACGCAUCGAACCUUUGGAAGCCUUUCAGCAGUACCGACAACGUUGGGUUUAGGCUCAAUAUCAAGCGCAGGACUUAACAUAGGCGAAUUUACACAUUGUACAUCGUCAAUUGGCAGACGUUUUUCAGAAGCAACAUUUUCAGGAAGACUUAAAUCCUGGAGCAAUGUUUUGUCAUGAUGCACUUGAUCGCCCUCUUUUUUAUCCAUUUAUAGUAAAUUAUUAGGAUAAAAAAGUACUAAUAUGGAUGUUAAAAAGAAGAUGUGGGUUAAUGGUGAUCUGUCAUUAACCACGCUUGUGAAGGCUGAAACCUGUUGUCUGGAAAGUGUACGAAUAGCUUACUAAGAAAUUUCAAAAUUGGCACUCAUUCUACAAAUCACCUUUAUUUACUUCCGUCUUUACUAAUCUUCUUUUUUUUUACUAAUUAUUGUUUAAUUUGUGGGAAAAUACAACAUUUACAGCACUACCUUAAGUAUGCAAAUACAACAGGUUAUCAACAAUUAUUUGGAAUAUUUACAGUACUUUUUGAUUAAAAUAUUAAAAUGGUUUCAAACAGGAUAUCAUAGGAUGCAAAUUAUGUUUACAAACGCAUAACGUAGAAAUUUUGCUGCAUUGUGAAAAUGCAGUAAAUAUCUUUUUAAAGAAUGACUUCAGCAAAUAUUAUCAAAACUACAUUCAAUGCUCAAGCAAAGCUCUUAACUUAUCUAACUGGAUACGAAUUAGCUUAGCAAACUGUGAUGUUUUAGUUUCUUUCGUAAGCUGAUCCGAUUCUAAUUCUUUUGGUAUACCAAUCACGUCAAUAGCGUAUUCCUGCUCAUACAGACUAGCGGGUAUAGCCAAACUUGAUAAAAAAUUUGGAUGUGAAAUCAAAUAGUCGAUGCCUCCAGCAUCUCAAUCUUCAAUUCAGCAAGUCUAAUUUCUUGUAGUAAUGCGGGAUUAAAUUGUUGCAAAAGAUCGAACAGUAGCACUAUCAUAAAAGAUUCAUCGAUGGAGGCUAACGAAAUUGAGGAAGGAGGUUGACACCAAUUUAAUAAAGCGUACUGAAUUUGAGGAAAUGCUAAUAAAACAAAUUCCCUCAUAUCGUUCAUGAUCCUGUUGCCUAAAAAUUUAACAAUAUUAAAUAAAAGGGGCAAUAUUCCACGAAUCCAGAUUUUGUAUUGAAUCGAUGAACCAUCGAGUCCUAACCCACCAGUGCUUAAAGCCGUACUUAAUGGACUUUCCAUAAUUGAGUAAAAAAACCCAUUCAUAACGAUUUGUUCAGCACCUGCUGGUGAUGAAGAACAUAUCAGUAAAAAUGACAAAGCUGCAUCGGCAAAAUACGGCUGACCAUCCACCAACAAUGAGUGAGACCAUGAAAAUAACCGUAAACAGUUAUCAACAGAAAACGAGUCAUUUAUAUAACUGAUGUAUAGUGAUUGAAGCCCUCUGAUCAAAUGGGAAUUUACUAUACAUUUAUGGAGCGAGUUUAGCAAGACAAUGUCGCCAUAAACCUCAAUUGUAGGAUUGAUUACGGCCUUCUCAAAAAGCUGAGACAAUUUACGAUGACAUAGCUGCAAUAAUCCAGAUACAAAACCAACACUCAAACUUAGAUUUUCUUUUUCCUCUGAUAAGAGUCUAUUUAGGGUGUUGUAUAAAACAUGUAACAAUGGCCUAUAAUAUGCCAUUUCGCCAUUGCUAUCUUCAUAAAUAGAAAAUUUGGUAGUAGUGAUUGCCUUCCAAGUUAACAGAAGAAUGGACUGCAAGUGUUCCUUAACUUCAUUAGAUAUGGGUAUUGCUAAAGUCUGCUGAGAGAUCCGAAAUACUAAUGCUGCUCGUUCUGCGGAUAACUCCUGAACCACAUUCACAUCAAUAGUAUCCUCAGCUAAUGAUUUCAAUACCCAUUUCAUAAUCUUCAACUCCAAUAUUGAAAGUGUUGCGUCUUCUUUGACGAAUUCAACGAAAGCACAUAUAAAUAUUGACCAGGAACGUAGUAAAGCAGCUUGUGCAUCUAACAAGGAUAAAUUUUCAUUAGCAGACAUCAUCAUGCUAAUUUUGAAACUGGUAUCUUCAGUAUUAAGCAACAUGUUUUUUGCAAGCUUUAUGUUAUAAAAAUAAUUAUCGCCAUAUCUAAGGGGAAAAAGGCCUGUGUUCCUAAGAUCUGAAAUAUGUAAGUCUCCAUUUUCAUGUUUAAAGGCACGUGUUAAAGCAUUAUGAAUAUUUGAAUCAUAUGCGGUAAUAGUAAAAGCAUGUUGUACCAGAUCCUUCAUCGAAUCUUUCAAUGGGUCAAUUAUUAUUUUCUUUGAACUAUUUGAUUUGUUCAACUUGGACAUAUGCAACUGAAUUGCGGUUAUACGAGUAGCAUGAGCAGCAAGAAUAUAAAGGUCAGCUUGAGCCACGGAACUAAGCCCAUCCAGCUUAACCGUUAAAGGCAACUUAAUGGCAUCGACAAUUCUGUUCCAAAAAUUAGCCUCUUGUUGCAAAUUACCAAGAGAAGCAGUCCAAAAAUUACGAGAAAGGAAUAUGAAUUCAAAAACUGGUACCUGGGACAAUAUGUCAUUAAUAGAAAAGCUAUCGAGUCUUUUCUCGGCAAGACUGAUUAAUGAUUUUGAAGUCAAUUGCACGUCAACGUUAUGAUUUAAACUUUUCAUUCGAUCCAAUGGAAAUUUUUUUCCAGAAAACAACAAUACGGCCAAUCCCUGUUGUUGACCCUUCAUUAUUGACGAAAGAAAUUUCCAUACAGACCCUUCAAUAUUGGUUGAUUGUAUAGGAUUUGUAAGAAUUUGAAUGCAGACACGGCCAACUAUAUCUGUUGAGUUAAUCAUGUAUGCCAAAAGGGAAGGCGUUUCUGAAGGCCAAGGAGCAAGGAUUAGAGCACUGAGCAACUGAAGAAUAGGAGCUAUGCAGCAGAGGAGACGAGGCAAACAAUUAAAAAGAUCUGGAGACCUUGAAAAAAGCUCACGCUCUAGUUCUGAAGGUUUCAAAUUCAAGAAGCCACGUAAACAGAUAAGGGUUUUCAUAGCACAAAAUGAAGAAAUUAACCACAUUUUAGCGGCUUUGGCUCUUGGAGAGCUUAUCGUGGAAAAAAUAUCAGUGUACAAUAAAUUAAUAAGAUCCAUUACAGAUAGCAAGGGGUGCAGGUAACGAUUUGAAUCUUGUUGAACCAAAAACCUUUGUACAAUAUAAUGGCUGAGUUCUCUAAGCGGUAAGGUUUUUUUGUUUACAGUAGUUUUCGGAUUAAAAUAUUCGAUUCCAAAUGUAACAUUAAGCAGUUUUGUUAUAAGGGAUGCAAACCGAUGGCCGAUUUGAUAUUGUUGAAUAAUCCUAGCAUACUUCCAAUCAAGAUAAUUAGCAAAUACUUCGCAAAGAAAACGCAUGGCCCUUUUAACAAAAUCAGUCUUGAGACGUAUGGAGAAAUCAUCAGGAACGACUGAAGUUGAAAUACAAUUAUCCAGUAAAAUUUCAUAAAGAUCAAAGAAAGCUAAGGUAAAAUCAUAAACACCAUUGAUAGACUCGUAAUCAAAAAUGACAUCUUCUAAGGAUAUACCUUUUUCGGAACCUACACAAACCAACGAUCGAGUAACAUAAGCCCAAACAUCAGUAGCUGCAAAUCGUGUAAACUCACGCAACAGUCGCAAAGAUGAUACACAAAUCUGAUAAUCUGCAUCUUCGAUUACGGAAAGUGAAAGAAAGUAAUCCAAAAGAUCACAGAUUACAUUAAUAAAAUCGAGUUCACCAUCAAGACCUUCAGAAGCUAGAUGAACUAACUCACAAGCGCCAGAAACAUCUGUUUGGAAUAGUGGCACAGAAGAAGAUAGCACAGUUAAUACAAAGCU
rnacentral:lncRNA from 1 species